UACGGAGGGAGCUAGCGUUGUUCGGAUAUACUGGGCGUAAAGCGCACGUAGGCGGCGCAGCAAGUCAGGGGUGAAAUCCCGGAGCUCAACUCCGGAACUGCCUUUGAAACUGCAGUGCUAGAAUCCUGGAGAGGCGAGUGGAAUUCCGAGUGUAGAGGUAGAAAUUCGUAGAUAUUCGGAAGAACACCAGUGGCGAAGGCGACUCGCUGGACAGGUAUUGACGCUGAGGUGCGAAAGCGUGGGAGCAA
rnacentral:rRNA from 1 species